GGUCUUAUAUUCAAUUAAUGAUUUUAGACUGCAAUUCUAAAGGUGUAGAAAUACUAAGACUU
rnacentral:tRNA from 1 species